GAUGAACGCUGGCGGCGUGCCUAAUACAUGCAAGUCGAGCGAACAGACGAGGAGCUUGCUCCUCUGACGUUAGCGGCGGACGGGUGAGUAACACGUGGAUAACCUACCUAUAAGACUGGGAUAACUUCGGGAAACCGGAGCUAAUACCGGAUAAUAUAUUGAACCGCAUGGUUCAAUAGUGAAAGACGGUUUUGCUGUCACUUAUAGAUGGAUCCGCGCCGCAUUAGCUAGUUGGUAAGGUAACGGCUUACCAAGGCAACGAUGCGUAGCCGACCUUAGAGGGUGAUCGGCCACACUGGAACUGAGACACGGUCCAGACUCCUACGGGAGGCAGCAGUAGGGAAUCUUCCGCAAUGGGCGAAAGCCUGACGGAGCAACGCCGCGUGAGUGAUGAAGGUCUUCGGAUCGUAAAACUCUGUUAUUAGGGAAGAACAAAUGUGUAAGUAACUAUGCACGUCUUGACGGUACCUAAUCAGAAAGCCACGGCUAACUACGUG
rnacentral:rRNA from 1 species